rnacentral:rRNA from 1 species
UGCGUAGGUGGCAUGGUAAGUUUGAUGUGAAAGCUCAGGGCUUAACCCUGAAAUGGCAUUGAAUACUACUGUGCUGGAGGUUUGGAGGGGGGACUGGAAUUCUUGGUGUAGCAGUGAAAUGCGUAGAUAUCAAGAGGAACACCAGUGGCGAAGGCGAGUCCCUGGACAACACCUGACACUGAGGCACGAAAGCUAGGGGAGCAAACA